rnacentral:rRNA from 1 species
AGAGUUGAUCCUGGCUCAGGAUGAACGCUGGCGGCGUGCCUAACACAUGCAAGUCGAGCGGAGAUAAGUUGAAGCCUAGCGAUCUUAUCUUAGCGGCGGAUGGGUGAGUAACACGUGGGUAACCUGCCCUGUACUGGGGGAUAACAGCUGGAAACGGCUGUUAAUACCGCAUAUGCGCACGGAGCCGCAUGGCCCUGGGCGGAAAGAUUCAUCGGUACAGGAUGGGCCCGCGCCGGAUUAACUUGUUGGCGGGGUAACGGCCCACCCAAGGUGAUGAUCCGUAGCCGACCUGAGAGGGUGACCGGCCACAUUGGGACUGAGACACGGCCCAAACUCCUACGGGAGGCAGCAGUGGGGGAUAUUGCACAAUGGGGGAAACCCUGAAUGCAGCGACGCCGCGUGAAGGAAGAAGUAUUUCGGUAUGUAAACUUCUAUCAGCGGGGAAGAAGAUGACGGUACCCGCACAAGAAGCCCCGGCUAACUACGUGCCAGCCGCCGC